UCCGGUGAUGAUGCCUUGAUGGAGCACCUGUUCCCAUACCGAACACAGUAGUUAAGCAUCAAGAGGCCGAAAGUACUUGAUUGGCGACGAGCUGGGAGGAUAGGUAAUCGCCGGUU
rnacentral:rRNA from 1 species